GAUGAACGCUGGCGGCGUGCCUAAUACAUGCAAGUCGAGCGAACGGACGAGAAGCUUGCUUCUCUGAUGUUAGCGGCGGACGGGUGAGUAACACGUGGAUAACCUACCUAUAAGACUGGGAUAACUUCGGGAAACCGGAGCUAAUACCGGAUAAUAUUUUGAACCGCAUGGUUCAAAAGUGAAAGACGGUCUUGCUGUCACUUAUAGAUGGAUCCGCGCUGCAUUAGCUAGUUGGUAAGGUAACGGCUUACCAAGGCAACGAUGCAUAGCCGACCUGAGAGGGUGAUCGGCCACACUGGAACUGAGACACGGUCCAGACUCCUACGGGAGGCAGCAGUAGGGAAUCUUCCGCAAUGGGCGAAAGCCUGACGGAGCAACGCCGCGUGAGUGAUGAAGGGCGUCGGAUCGUAAAACUCUGUUAUUAGGGAAGAACAUAUGUGUAAGUAACUGUGCACAUCUUGACGGUACCUAAUCAGAAAGCCACGGCUAACUACGUGC
rnacentral:rRNA from 1 species